UACGGGGGGAGCAAGCGUUGUUCGGAUUUACUGGGCGUAAAGGGCGCGUAGGCGGCGUGGUAAGUCACUUGUGAAAUCUCCGGGCUUAACCCGGAGCGGCCAAGUGAUACUGUCGUGCUAGAGUGCGGAAGGGGCUACUGGAAUUCUCGGUGUAGCGGUGAAAUGCGUAGAUAUCGAGAGGAACACCUGCGGCGAAGGCGGGUAGCUGGGCCGACACUGACGCUGAUGCGCGAAAGCCAGGGGAGCGAACGGG
rnacentral:rRNA from 1 species